rnacentral:lncRNA from 1 species
GUCUCACAUCAGACGUUCACCCACCCUACCAGCUCCAGCUCACAUCAGACGUUCACCCACCACCAGCUCUCAGUCUCACAUCAGACGUUCACCCCCUACCAGCUCUCAGUCUCACAUCAGACGUUCACCCACUACCAGCUCUCAGUCUCAAAUCAGACGUUCACCCAAGGUCCGGCAUUAACUCCGAAUGGUUAAGGUCCGGCAUUAACUCCGAAUGGUUAAGGUCAGGCAUUAACUCCGAAUGGUUAAGGUCAGGCAUUAACUCCGAAUGGUUAAGUUAG